UAUGGAAGCUGCAGAACCAGCCAUGCAGACAAAUGAGAAACCAUCUUUUGUCUACAGAAGGCACCAAUCCUACAGAAAUGUGGAGCUCUUUGUCUGACUUAGGACAGCUGGCUAAGUCUGGUUGUUCCCCUCCAUACAGC